GUAAAUAGUUAGAUAAAUAGAUAAAUAAAUGAGUGAGUGAGAAAUAGAUAGAUAGAUAGAUAGAUAGAUAAACGAAUGAGCGAGUGAAUAGAUAGAUAGAUAGAUAGAUAGAUAGAUAAAUGAAUGAGCGAGUGAGUAAAUAGAUAGAUAGAAUAGAUAGAUAGAUAGAUAGAUAGAUAGAUAAAUGAGUGAGUGAGAAAAUAGAUAGAUAGAUAAAUAGAUAGAUAAAUGAAUGAGUGAGAAAAUAGAUAGAUAGAUAGAUAAACGAAUGAGCGAGUGAGUAGAUAGAUAGAUAGAUAAAUGAGUGAGUGAGAAAAUGAAUGAGUGAGUGUUAAAAUAGAUAGAUAGAUAGAUGAAUGAGCGAGUGAGUAAAUAGAUAGAUAGAUAGAUAGAUAAACAAAUGAGUGAGUGAGAAAAUAGAUAGAUAGAUAGAUAGAUAGAUAAACAAAUGAGUGAGUAAAUAGAUAGAUAGAUAGAUAGAUAGAUAGAUAGAUAGAUAAAUGAAUAAAUGAAUGAGCGAGUGAAUAGAUAGAUAGAUAGAUAGAUAGAUAGAUAGAUAGAUAAAUGAAUGAGGGAGUGAGUAAUAGAUAGAUAGAUAGAUAGAUAGAUAGAUAAAUGAAUGAGGGAGUGAGUAAAUAGAUAGAUAGAUAUAUAGAUAGAUAAAUGAGUGAGUGAGAAAAUAGAUGAAUAAAUGAAUGAGCGAGUGAGUAGAUAGAUAGAUAGAUAGAUAAAUGAACGAGCGAGUGAGUAGAUAGAUAGAUAAAUAAACGAGCGAGUGAGAAGAUGGAUAGAUAAGUGGAUAAUGAGUGAGUAAAUAAGUGAUCUGAUUUCCCGAGCUCCGGGUCAGCACUGCUGUCUGUGCGUUGUGUUCUCAGUAGCGUUUGUGUAUUUCAGUAAUAAUUUGACGACGCAGUCACUGCAAGCACGCUCUAUACCGUUAACCGUUAUUUACUUUAAUACUCCUCCGUUCCUAUACUUUUGCUCACGUAAAAUCAGACCGGAUGGUCCGAGACAAAAGUUGUUUAUCACAUCUAGAUGUAAACGUGAGGAAAUCCGAUCUACCGUCUCGUGUUCAUCUUUUC
ensembl:lncRNA